CAACAACAUCUCAAUUCUUGAACUUCUGCUUGAGGAAGAUGAAUACUUACUCUCAGACUGCAGUGUCCACGGGAUGUCCAUAUGCAGAUGAAGUGGAUGCAUUUAAGUGGGGAUCCAGGGAAAGUACUCCUUGCAGUUUUAAGAACAUCUUAAAUCAAAUAUUAAUUCCAUACCCGGAGAAGUCCUUUGCUGCUUUUCAAUCUUUGGAAUCUGAAGAAGAAACU